GUAUCACCGGUUCUUGUAUGAUCACUGAAGUUAAACAACGUCAAGCUUGGCCAGUAUCUCGAUGAGUGACCGCUUGGGAACACCAGGUGCU